UCUCUCUCGAAUUCCAAAAGCAAUGGCGCCUAAGAGAAUCGGAGUCGGCGGUGGAGAUUCGAGCAUCUUGGCGAAGAUUGCAAACUCGAGCAUCGUGUCUCAAGGAAGAAACGCCGCGUGCGACGCCGUUUACGUGUCGAAGAAGCUUUUAAAGAGCACCGGGAAGGCGGCGUGGAUCGCCGGUACGACGCUUCUGAUCCUCGUCGUGCCUUUGGUCAUAGAGAUGGAUCGAGAGCAGCUACUAAACGAGAUGGAGUUUCAGCAGACCAGCCUUCUCGGAACUCCACCACCGGCUGGUGGGAUGCCGAUGUACUAAGAAGUAUCUUGAGAAACCCUAAUUCGUCGAUCGUAUCAUUAUUUCAAUUUUGAGAAUUUUCUACAAGAGGCGAAAGUAAAAUUGGUCCUCAAGAACCUUCUAGAGGCUUAUGACAAGAAGUGGGAUUUCAUAGAAGCUGAAGACUAUAAGGUCCUCAUUGAUGCAAUCUUCGAGGAGGAAGAUCCGCAGGCCACUGAAACGAAGAAGAAGCAAG